rnacentral:lncRNA from 1 species
AGAGGUUUGAAUCAUGGCUUGAUACGAAAUUAUUGGAAAGAAUAUGGCGAUGACAUCCACAAUGCCGGAAUUAUUUGACCUACUUCUUCUAUCAUGCGCUGAGGAUAAAGAAAAUAUUUAGAAGAUGAGAUUCCUGUGUUUCUGGCUUUCAUUUUACUGGUCAUUCCUGCCAUGAGAAGAUGAUAGAGAAUAUCACCACAGUGUGACUUGCUUCCAAGGCAGCAUGGUUUCAUGCAGAGGAUCUAAACUGGGGACCAUGUGCUGGGCUGCAAAAGGGCUGUGCAGUGCCUAAAAUGUUAUGCAAAAUUUUAUAAAGGUAGGUCAUGUAUUGCUCCAUUGAUGCUGCCCUUAUUCAUGAUGAUUAAAGCCUUUGGGAGGUAUUCCUUCAGAAUAAUUUGGUGUUGUUUUCUUCAGUCAAGAGGUCCACAGAGCUGUCUUUCAUUCUGUAGGUUUAUCAGCAACUGAUGCUUAAAACCUAUUAGGCACUGCAAAAAAAGAGUGCACACCUUCUACUUAUUAAAAAAAAAAACAAACUGUAAAACAGCAUCAUGCAGGUUCUUCAGGAGAGAUUCCAGAGGAAGGCAUUGUUGUGGUAGAAGAUGACAGUUCCACAGGUGUUACUAGCCAUGAAGAUCUUCCAGUGAGACAAGAUGUGGAGGUGGAAGACAGUGAUAUUGAUGAUUCUGAUCCUGUUGUUAUAAAUAAAGUUUCGGUUCCACAAAAGAAA